rnacentral:rRNA from 1 species
GAUAAACGCUGGCGGCGUGCCUAAUACAUGCAAGUCGAGCGAACGGACGAGAAGCUUGCUUCUCUGAUGUUAGCGGCGGACGGGUGAGUAACACGUGGAUAACCUACCUAUAAGACUGGGAUAACUUCGGGAAACCGGAGCUAAUACCGGAUAAUAUUUUGAACCGCAUGGUUCAAAAGUGAAAGACGGUCUUGCUGUCACUUAUAGAUGGAUCCGCGCUGCAUUAGCUAGUUGGUAAGGUAACGGCUUACCAAGGCAACGAUGCAUAGCCGACCUGAGAGGGUGAUCGGCCACACUGGAACUGAGACACGGUCCAGACUCCUACGGGAGGCAGCAGUAGGGAAUCUUCCGCAAUGGGCGAAAGCCUGACGGAGCAACGCCGCGUGAGUGAUGAAGGUCUUCGGAUCGUAAAACUCUGUUAUUAGGGAAGAACAUAUGUGUAAGUAACUGCGCACAUCUUGACGGUACCUAAUCAGAAAGCCACGGCUAACUACGUGCCAGCAGCCGCGGUAAUACGUAGGUGGCAAGCGUUAUCCGGAAUUAUUGGGCGUAAAGCGCGCGUAGGCGGUUUUUUAAGUCUGAUGUGAAAGCCCACGGCUCAACCGUGGAGGGUCAUUGGAAACUGGAAAACUUGAGUGCAGAAGAGGAAAGUGGAAUUCCAUGUGUAGCGGUGAAAUGCGCAGAGAUAUGGAGGAACACCAGUGGCGAAGGCGACUUUCUGGUCUGUAACUGACGCUGAUGUGCGAAAGCGUGGGGAUCAAACAGGAUUAGAUACCCUGGUAGUCCACGCCGUAAACGAUGAGUGCUAAGUGUUAGGGGGUUUCCGCCCCUUAGUGCUGCAGCUAACGCAUUAAGCACUCCGCCUGGGGAGUACGACCGCAAGGUUGAAACUCAAAGGAAUUGACGGGGACCCGCACAAGCGGUGGAGCAUGUGGUUUAAUUCGAAGCAACGCGAAGAACCUUACCAAAUCUUGACAUCCUUUGACAACUCUAGAGAUAGAGCCUUCCCCUUCGGGGGACAAAGUGACAGGUGGUGCAUGGUUGUCGUCAGCUCGUGUCGUGAGAUGUUGGGUUAAGUCCCGCAACGAGCGCAACCCUUAAGCUUAGUUGCCAUCAUUAAGUUGGGCACUCUAAGUUGACUGCCGGUGACAAACCGGAGGAAGGUGGGGAUGACGUCAAAUCAUCAUGCCCCUUAUGAUUUGGGCUACACACGUGCUACAAUGGACAAUACAAAGGGCAGCGAAACCGCGAGGUCAAGCAAAUCCCAUAAAGUUGUUCUCAGUUCGGAUUGUAGUCUGCAACUCGACUACAUGAAGCUGGAAUCGCUAGUAAUCGUAGAUCAGCAUGCUACGGUGAAUACGUUCCCGGGUCU